rnacentral:lncRNA from 1 species
UUGAUCAAUUGCAUUUUAGGAAUCAUAUUCAAAUUAAAAAACCCAUUGAUGAUCAACAAUUGACAGAGCACAUCACUGCUAGUUUACAUAUGCCUCAGCUCUCUCUUGUUCGAGCUGCACAUGCUUAAGAUAUAGGCGACUGUUCUUAUUAUCUGUGGUCUUAUUUCUCAGGAAUUCCCAGAUUAUGUACCAUACAAAAC